GCGGUAGCAGUGGCAACGGCAGCAAGAGGACCGGCCGCCCCAUAGACCCCCCCGCGCACCACCCCCGCCGCUUCCUCUGCUUGGGUGCCCCCCCGGUCUGACUUCCCUUUUCUCCCACCUUUCCCGGCACCGCGGGAAAAGCAGCGCAGGGCAGAGCAGGCAGGGAGGGCGGCCGGAGCCCGGACACGGGAGCCUCCCAGUCAGUUCAAGACCCGACAUGAGGGAAAAGGGACGUAGGAAGAAGGGCAGGACCUGGGCGGAGGCCGCCAAGACGGUCUUAGAAAAAUACCCCAAUACACCCAUGAGUCAUAAAGAAAUUCUUCAAGUUAUCCAGAGAGAAGGACUAAAAGAAAUCAGAAGGUAAGAAGUAUUACUUUAUUCUAAAGAAGUAUUAUGCAAUUAUAAAGCACACUUUUAUAAAUUUAAUUGAACUUACCUUUGGAUGCAUGAGUUUUACUUUAUAAAACUAAAUAAUUAGUCCAGAAACUAAGUAAUAUCGAUAUUAUUAUGUUAGUGUUUAUUCGUUAAGUGUGCUUUGUUUGGUUCUUGCAGUUUGUAAUUAUUGUUUGAUCAUAAGUUUAGAAAUCCGAUCUACAUUAAGGUUUAUUAAAAUCAACAUUUGACUUAUAAAAGCGUUGGGAUGCCAAGUAUUCUGCAGAGUAAUAAUGAAAGUAUUUAGUAGACUGGAAACAUGUAUAUUAACAUUUGCUUUAUGGCUGUAAGAUUGAAAAUGUAUGUUUGUGCUCUUAAUUUAGAUAAAAUAUUGGUAAAUCGGCUGGGCAUGGUGGCUCACACCUGGUAAUCCCAGCACUUUGAGAGGCCGAGGUGGGUGGAUCACUUGAGGUCAGGAGUUCGAGACUAGCCUGACCAAUAUGGUGAAACUGCAU
rnacentral:lncRNA from 1 species